rnacentral:rRNA from 1 species
GACGAACGCUGGCGGCGUGCCUAACACAUGCAAGUCAAGGAGAAUUCCCGACUUGUCGGGAUAGUAAACUGGCGAACGGGUGAGUAACACGUAGGUAAUCUACCCUCGGGAUCGGGAUAACCUCGCGAAAGUGGGGAUAAUACCGAAUAAAGUCUCGGUAUAAUUUGUCGAGAUGAAAGAUGGGGAUCUUCGGACCUAUUACCUGAGGAUGAGCCUGCGCCUGAUUAGCUAGUUGGUAGGGUAAAUGCCUACCAAGGCAACGAUCAGUAGCUGGUCUGAGAGGAUGAUCAGCCACAUUGGGACUGAGAUACGGCCCAGACUCCUACGGGAGGCAGCAGUGAGGAAUUUUGCGCAAUGGGCGAAAGCCUGACGCAGCAACGCCGCGUGACUGAUUAAGCUCUGAGGAGUGUAAAAGUCUGUCGUAGAGGAAGAAACUAUCCGAUAAGAAUAUUGUCGGAUACUGACGGUACUCUAUGAGAAAGCUCCGGCUAAC